ensembl:snRNA U6 U6 spliceosomal RNA
GUGCUCAUUUCAGCAGCACAUACUGUAAAAUUGAAAUAAUACAGAGAUUAGCAUGACCCCUGCUCAAGGAUGGCAUGCAUAUUUGGGAAGUGUUUCAAAUUUAU